AGGGGAAGGCAACCUUGUAAUAACCCAGGUGCUGAGGACAAGGCUAGAGUCUGAAGCUCAGGAAUUUGCAUUGACCGAUGGUAAUGGCUUUUGGAGAGUUUGUGCAGCAUAAGGCUUGACCUGAAGUUAAUGACCUGAAGUUAACCUGAAUUUCUAUUUUCAAUAGGCAGGAACCAUUAAGACAUCAGUCACUGGAACAAGCACCCCAACAGGCACUGUGAGUGGAAACGUGAUUGUGGACACAUUAGCGGGUGUUCCCGCUGCUACCUUCCAGUCCAUUAGCAAGUGUUUGGCAUCACCUGUGGCUUCUGGAACUUUGACUACAUCCGGAGGUUCUGCUUCUGCUCAAGUGGUCCAUACCCAGCAACGAGCAGUUGGUUCCCCAGCUACUGCCACCACUGAUCUGGUGUCCAUGACAAC